GGGGAAUUUUCCGCAAUGGGCGAAAGCCUGACAGAGCAAUACCGCGUGAGGGAAGAAGGCUUACUGAGUUGUAAACCUCGGUGCCUUAAGGAAGAAGAUCUGACGGUACUUAAGGUGGAAAGCAUCGGCUAACCCCGUGCCAGCAGCCGCGGUAAGACGGGGGAUGCAAGUGUUAUCCGGAAUCACUGGGCGUAAAGCGUCUGCAGGUGGUUUCCUAAGUCCACUGUUAAACCUUGAGGCUCAACCUCAAAUCUGCAGUGGAAACUAGGGAACUUGAGGAUAGUAGGGGUAGAGGGAAUUUCCAGUGGAGCGGUGAAAUGCGUAGAUAUUGGAAAGAACACCGAUGGCGAAGGCACUUUACUGGGCUAUGACUGACACUCAGAGACGAAAGCUAGGGGAGCAAAAGGGAUUAGAUACCCCUGUAGUC
rnacentral:rRNA from 1 species